UACGAAGGGUGCUAGCGUUGUUCGGAAUCACUGGGCGUAAAGCGCGCGUAGGCUGCUUGUCAAGUCAGAGGUGAAAUGCCUGGGCUCAACCCAGGAACUGCCUUUGAAACUGUCAAGCUGGAGUGUCGGAGGGGAUAGCGGAAUUGCUAAUGUAGAGGUGAAAUUCGUAGAUAUUAGCAGGAACACCGGUGGCGAAGGCGGCUAUCUGGACGACAACUGACGCUGAGGCGCGAAAGCGUGGGGAUCAAACAGG
rnacentral:rRNA from 1 species